CCCUAGCCCCGAUUGCAAUGGAAAGCUUUUUGUAAAAGCCGUUUUCGUUUUUCUUGUUGCCGCAGAGCGACCGGAGGAAGCUCCUGCGGGAACAUUAGAAAAACAAAUGGGUUUACAAAAACUUGCAAUGAAAAGCGGGAAAUGGC
rfam:Flavobacterium fryxellicola strain DSM 16209 FBFR13, whole genome shotgun sequence.